CCUCGCCGUUCCCGGGCACAGGGCGCGCCCCCGCCGGCCGCAGGGAAGGGGUCGGGCCUGCCGCCGGCUGCCCUGGCCCGAGGUCGGGUUGAGGAGCCGGAGGCCGGGCCUCCCCCCGCAUCCCGCGGGUUCAUCUUCCCAGGCACCCUCGGCUCGGCACCUCCGGCCGCCUGGGGUCCGGUCACUGACAUACAGAUUUACCUGCCAGAGGACUUCAAAGCCUGUAAUGCUUGGCAGCCAAGCCUGUCUCAGAUUUUUCUAUUGGUUGGAAGAAGUUACUGAAAUUAGAUGGCAAAUGCUCCAGCAACACUGGAGUCACAUUCCUACGCUAAAGAAGAUUGCCAGUGUGGCUUUCUUGAUUAUAUGCUGCUUCGUGGCUGCAUCUUGAACUGGAGGCUAUCUGUCUGAAGAGGAUGGUCUCCAAAGCUGCUCCACACAACAGCAGCAGGGUGACAAGGAGGGAACCACCCCAGGUUUGUGGCCUGCCUUUGGUAAAGACCUCUGGUUCUAGAAGAAUGGAAUUUUCAUUUCUGUAGACUUGUACCUACUUGGACUGCUCUUCCCCAAGCAGCUACCAGCAGUGUCUACCAAAGCAAAAGGACUAUCUGCAGUCACCUUGACAUGACAUGAGGCCUAAGCCUUCUCACAGAGGCAUCCCAUCUUUGUGAAUCAUGGGGCAAGCUGGGGUACUCUCAGGGAAUCCCCAUGUGUGCCUGUUGCCUAAAAUUGGCUCUUAAAUGAAACCUCUAAAGACUCA